rnacentral:rRNA from 1 species
AAUUUUCCGCAAUGGGCGCAAGCCUGACGGAGCAACGCCGCGUGCGGGAUGACGCUUUUCGGAGUGUAAACCGCUGUUCGUGGGGACGAAGCACUGACGGUACCCACGGAGGAAGGCCCGGCUAACUACGUGCCAGCAGCCGCGGUAAUACGUAGGGGUCGAGCGUUGUCCGGAGUUACUGGGCGUAAAGAGCUCGUAGGUGGCUCAGUAAGUCGGGUGUGAAACCUCCAGGCUCAACCUGGAGACGCCACCCGAUACUGCUGUGGCUAGAGUCCAGUAGGGGAGCAUGGAAUUCCUGGUGUAGCGGUGAAAUGCGCAGAUAUCAGGAGGAACACCAGUGGCGAAGGCGGUGCUCUGGGCUGGAACUGACACUGAGGAGCGAAAGCGUGGGGAGCGAACAG